rnacentral:rRNA from 1 species
UACGGAGGAUGCGAGCGUUAUCCGGAUUUAUUGGGUUUAAAGGGUGCGUAGGCGGCCUUUUAAGUCAGCGGUGAAAGUCUGUGGCUCAACCCCGGCCCGCCGUUGAAACUGGCAGUCUCGAGUUGGAGAGAAGUACGCGGAAUGCGCGGUGUAGCGGUGAAAUGCAUAGAUAUCGCGCAGAACUCCGAUUGCGAAGGCAGCAUGCCGGCUCCACACUGACGCUGAGGCACGAAAGCGUGGGUAUCGAACAGG